rnacentral:lncRNA from 10 species
CGCGAUCUUGGCUCCCUGCAACCUCUGCCUCCCGGGUUCAAGCGAUUCUCCUGCCUCAGCCUCCUGAGUAGCUGGGAUUACAGGCAUGCGCCACGACGCCUGGCUAAUUUUGUAUUUUUAGUAGAGACGGGAUUUCUCCAUGUUGGUCAGGCUGGUGGCGAACUCCCAGGUGUGCCUACCCUGGCACCGGUUCCCACGGAGCUUUCUGCCCUGGUAAAUUGUGAUUCCGGAUAUUCGUCUGCUGGUCUCUCCAGGUUGGGGAGUAAUGGUUUGCCCCAUGACCUCUCUUGCCAUAAGAAUCUAAAAGAACUGUUUGGUUUUUAGUUUGGUUAGCCUUCUCCUUGUUGUUAGGAUGAAGUGCUGACUCCCAAGCUUCGUGCUUGCUGGACUGGAAAUUGGAAGUCUGCCUGCCAGUUUUAAGAACCUAAAAAGUGAUGAACUGAAAAUGUCAGCCUGAGCUGACCAGCGCUUAUCCUCAUGUGACCUUGGGUGAAUUAAUGGACAUCUCUGAACCUCCAUUUUCUCCUGUGUAAAAUAGCAGCUGCAGCAAAAAUGAAAUAUCAAUAAUCUCUGAAAAGAAUUUAGCUCAGUGUUUGGUGAAGAUUGCCUCUCCUGAAGUCUAGAAAAGGGCUGGUUUGUUUGGAAGGCUGUGCCACGUGGCAAGAAGAGAAUAAACAUCUUGGGAAUUCUGGCUGUGCUGUACAUUUGCUGUGUGGCCUUCGGCAAGCUACUGACUUCUCUGAACUCAGGAUCUACAAACUGAGGAUAAGCAACAGGAGAAUCUCUGUGAAGUACUUUAAAAACAGGAGAUGUUUGUCUGAUAGUCUGCACCUCAAAGGAACCAAACGAAUGCAGAGGAUCCCCUGCCACAGGAAUCACUGUCUCCAAUGCCAUGCCUGGCAGGUAAUGUACAUGAGUAAACAGGGUCAGGUGAGGACUGAGGUGAACUGAAAAUUCCAUGCCCUAUUUUAUGAGGACAGCUUCUACCUAGUUCUAACAGGCUGUUAUCAAGAUGAAAUGUGAGCCCACAGUUGAAUGCCACUAGAUAUUUAAAGAGAAAAGCUACAAAAUUUUUACAAUUUCUUUUUUUUUUUUGAGAUGGAAUCUCGCUCUGUCGCCAGGCUGGAGUGCCGUGGUGCAAUCUCGGCUCACUGCAAUCUCUGCCUCCUGGGUUCAAGCGAUUCUCCUGCCUCAGCCUCCCGAGUAGCUGGGACUACAGGCGCACACCACCACACCCAGCUAAUUUUUUGUAUUUUUAGUAGAGAUGAGGUUUCGCCAUGUUGGCCAGGCUGGUCUCGAACUCCUGGCCGCAAGUGAUCCGUCCACCUCGGCCUCCCAAAGUACUGGGAUUACAGAUGUAAGCCACCACGCCCGGCAAUUUUUACAAUUUCUAAUUCAACCCUGUCAUUUGUCAGAAGGAGACAGCAAGACAGAGAAAGGAAGUGCUUUUCCUAAGAUCAUCUGAAUAGAAGGUGCAAAGUGUGGCUGGAAUCCAGAGAUGCCACCUCCUGAUCCAGCUCUUUCCUUUCUUCCUCUCUAUUCAUUAUUGAUUGACUAUCUGGGUUUGUAUUUGCUGUGUCACAAGUUAUCUAAACAUUUAGCAUCUUAUAAUAAGACAUAUUUAUUGUCUCAUAGUUUCUGUUUGUCAGAAUCAGCCCUUGCUUCAGGGUCUCAGACAAAUCGGCAUUCAAGAUGUCAGCCUAUGCUGGGAUUUCAUGUAAAGACUCUACAUGGGAAGAAGCUGUGUCCAGGCUCAGGCGGUUAUUGGGAGGAUUCAGUUCCCUGAGGGCUGUUAGAUUGAGGACCUGAGAUCUUUUCUCACUAUUGGUCAGAGGCCACCCUCCAUUCCUUGCCACCUGGGGCAUUCCAGAUGGCAACUUACUUCAUCGAAGUGUGCAAGCUGAGAAGGCCACAGAGAGAGUCUGCUAGCAAGACGAAAGUCACAAUCUUUUGCAACCCAAUCGUGGAAAUGACAUCCCAUCCCCUUUGCUCUAUUCUAUUUGUUAGGAAGUCACUAGGUCCAGCCCACACUCAAGGGCCUACACUACAGGGACAUGGGGAUAGGGUGGGGACCAUGGGGCUGG